rnacentral:lncRNA from 1 species
GACCAUAUAUCAAAGAGGAGGGGAUUCUGGUUAAACUGACUUUGCAAGGUUCUUGCAAAGAUUUGGCUUUACAAGCAGGUCCCCAAAAGUUUGGUUAAUCCAAGAAGUUUGAUAAGAGUGGAUAAGGGAAGCAGGUGAGACCAAGGGUGUGGUUGUAGACAUAGGAGUUUUGAGCUGUUAAUUACUCAUUCAGAUUGAGGACUCAAGUGAGCAUCUGGACAAACGGGUCUAGAAAUGUCCUAGUGAGGGCUUUUGGAGGAUUUCUAAGAAUGUAAGUGAGAAGUAAAGGCAUAAACCUAGACGAGCUCACCAAGGGAGCGAUGAUGUGGAGAAAGAAGAGACAGGCCCGAAGAUGUGUGUUCUGAUGCCAGUGUCCUUAAGAGGUUUGAUCACGAGAUGCUUAAGAGGGGUCAAGGAUGGGAGGAAAACUCAAGGACUGUGGGCUGUGGAAGCCCAUUACAGGACAUUGUCUCAAGGAAGUGGGCAUUGGCCAUUGCAGCAGAUGCUGCUCAGGGGUCAAAAGCAAUGAUGACAAAGAAUGGACCAUUGAAUUUCUCAGCAUGAGAGUCAUUGAUGACCUUAACAAGAGUCAAAAGUGAUUGAAUCUCAUUCUGGUCUCAUACAGCUACCUGUCUGCUUAUGGAGAUUGGGCAUCUGGAAUGACUUUUCUGGAAAUAGUGCCUGUUCAGAACUCUUAUUUGUUAAGGUCAUUACAUGCUCCCUCGAGCCCCUCCUAGGGCACCAGACAGACAUGGGCUAACUCGGUGACCUUCAGGUCACAGUAGAGCCUGUGCGAAGUGAUCAGAGAAAAGUUCAUUGCUACAGGAUGGAAUCCUGUGCAUUUUGCCCCUUGGAGCUCAUUCUCUAAUCCCAUGAUUUGGAGGUUCAAUUUAAAUAAAAGGAUGUAUGUUUACAUCUAUAACUUAAGAUACCUUGUUUUCAAUCAUCUAAAGUACAUCCCAGUUCGGUGUGGUUAACCUGGUGUCCAGAUUAUAAAUGUACAUCUUGAUUUUUUUAAUUAUACAAGGGCAUUAAAUGAAAUUAGAAGAACAUGAAAAUAUAAGAAAAGAAUGUAGGGAGAAAAAUUUCCCUGGUGACCUCACCUAAAUUGUUCAACAUUUUAUUUUUAUCCUGCCAGUGUUUUGUGUAUAUAGAUUUGUUUAUAUGGAUUUGUACUGUAUAUACUCUUUUGUUUCCUGCUUUCACCCUUAAAAUGUCGUGACUAUUUCUCCAAGUUACCCAUAUUACUUAAGUCUUAUUUUUAGGAUGCCUUGGUGACUUCCAUUGUUGUGUUACAUCUCAUCUAUUUCUGCAGCAGUGGGUCUUCUGAGUCCCCCAGUUACUAACGAUGGCCAGGGUGCCUCUGUAGGAUGUCUCCAGUUAGGUCCAUCUCUUGAAUUAGUUGUAUAAAUGAUGCUGGGAUUUUAGGUUAUCACUCAGUUUCUCCCUCACUUUUAAGUUAUGUUAAAACUAAUUUGAGGUAUAUAAAAUCAUCCCCUUUGCAUCAACUUUGCUUUAAAAAUUUCUAGACUUUAAAUCCCUUGGCAUUUUUCUCCUUUGAUCUGAAUUGCCUCUUGGUAUUUUCUCACUUCCCCAGCUUGACUUUCAGCACAGGAGCAGGGAACUUUGUGUCCUUUCAAGGGGCAGCCGUUCAUCCGCUUAUGGUUCUUUUAUCCCAAACAUCAGAAACUUCUUCUUUUCCAACCAUUAAUUUAAUUUGUUUCCAUUUCCAUCUCCAGAAUUUGCUUCAGUUGAGUUUCAGUCAGUUUACCCUGGAAAAUUUAAAUGUAUUGACAGCUUUUAAAAUAUAAAACUUAAAAGUUCGUACAUGCCCUGCCCUGUCAUUCAUUGUUGCAGCAACAAAUAUUUAUUGAGUUGUGUUUAAAACUGAGCUGUCUGCCACUGUCCUUUGUGGCUCCCCUUUGUCAAAAAUCCCCAAAUGGCCCCUCAGUGAAAUAUUCUUACAUCGAUAAAUUCAGAGAGAACCAAGGAGUGUUAGCUUUCUCUGGUCCAUUCCCUUGACGUUACUGAAGAUGAAACUGAGACCCAGAAAAGGAAAAGGAUGAUCCUGAGGCCACUUCGUAAUUGGCGCCGUCUCUUUCAGGAGACGCUGUCUCUUUUACUGUACUUCUUCUCUCUUUUUAUGAUACAAUUGUCCCUCCUCCUCCCGUUUUCCCACCCGACCCCUUUCCUCUGAAGCCUGAUUAAAAAAAACAAAAAAAACAAAAAAAA